CCAUUUCUUAUCAUAAAUUUUUUUUCUAACCGUUAGCUAUUAGGUUUGAGUUAUCCUUAUUAGAUAUAAUACUCAUCUAUAUUCUUAGAAGUGCGGUGGCAACUCGAAUUGUAUGAUAUACUUUUGAUUUAGUCAAUAUAUUUAAAGGUAACGAAUACCCUACUCCGAUCUCGCUCGAACCCAGCUCCGAUCUCCUAUGGUUAUACACUCCGCCGUACCGGAGGCGAUCCUCGGUGGCGACGGUGAAUUAAACUCAAUGGGAUCCUAACAUACUAAUCGACUCAAGGCGUCAAUCACGAAUAUGACGGCAAAAUCUCUUAACCCUUCCAGAGUUUCUCAAAUCGGCAAGAUAUCUAGGAAUCCUAACUGAAAAACCUACAUCUGUCGCCCCUCUCCUAGAAUCGGAGCCCGAGGGAUUAGAGCUUCGAUCUACCUACAUCUCCUCUAUGUUACGGCGAUAACAAACGGAAAGAAAAAGGAAUUUGAAACUCACCUUGCCGGAGACUACGACUGCGACUGCGCAAUCUCUACUUCCAGGAUGUACUUCAACUCAAAGCUUCUUUGUUCUAUUCUACUGGCUUCCUUUACUUUGGAAAUAGCUAUUUCUCCUUCUAACUCCAAAGGCUGAAUUUUCUCGGCAGAUAAACGACAAUCCCCUGUAUACUGUGCCAAGGUAACAAGGCCGAGAAGUUAUUAUGAAUCUCACCAUACCGGUUUUGAGCAUGCUUUGAGAAAGUGUCUUUUUCGUGCCGGAUCAACGGGAAGCAAGAAGUAUAGGGAGAGUCCACUACAUUAAACUUGCUCACAAAUUCAAGCUUUCGUUGUCUAAAUUCAACAAAUGAGUAGCUGUCGACUGACGUGAUCCUUCAAGUUUUAUUUUGAUUUCCUAAAGUGAUUUGCCAAGCUUUUUCUCAGUAAGAUCAGCACUGCAUAAUUAAAGGUCACUUUCUUCUUUAUCCAAAUUCCUGUUGACAACUUCUGAAUGCGAUGGCCUUUUGCUUCUGCUCUUCUUAUCAACCUUGGAGUUAGGAGGAAAACUCCCAUGUUCAAUUAGUUGACUGAUAGGAGAAACUCUUGGCAAACUUCCAGGAUGCAUUGCAACAAAAGCUGGAGAAGCAGGUUUUUUCCUUUGAGAUGGAAUUGGCUGCACGGAUGGUGGAAAAUUCCUUCCAUUACUUGAAAAUUCCGGAACAGUCUUAUACAGUGGAGAUCCAUUGCUAGUGGAUGCAUCGUUAUCAGCACUUGUCCAUUACAGUAUUGCCCGGAUGUUUGGGUGCAGGUUGUUUUGAACUACAAUGUUGAGGUUGCCGUUGACACUUGCAUGCGCUUUCCGCGGAAUGGUGUUUGGUGGUAUGCGAUUUUGUAGCAACUCUGUAACGUGUUGUUUGGUUGUCGUUGCUUCUAUUUUCCAUUGACAGCUUUUGCAGUUUGUCUCGGCAACAACUUUGAUUUCGGUUCUUGUUAGCAGCUUUGGAUGCCUUAAGAUCCACUGGAGCUUAUGGUUGUUCUCCUCUACUGCAACUUGCUGCCAUUUGUGAAGUGUGCGUUCGCAGCUUGUUGUCCAUUAAUAGAUACUGUUAUUGUGAUUGGUUAAUAAUUAUAGGGUGAAUUGCUUCUGAUGGUUAACUUAUUACAAUUUGUGGGACAGGGUGCAAAAUAAGACGUUGGCUGGUUCGUCUAAUUCGAUAGCUCUGCCGGUACAGAUGUAUUUUACAGCAUGAUCCAUGUGUAGAACUUCAUUGGUGCCGCUGGCUUAACAAGAUCUUGGUCAUCUUGCAGCAAGGUAAGCUGUCAUGGAUAUUGUUAUGGAAUAUGACGGAUGAAGCUCACAUGUCUGCCUUUACAAUCCUCUUAUUACAGGUGAACGACUUAGUUUGAUGGUUGUUACAAAAGGUUGGGAAUGGUUAUUUGAAGAGGGAAGUUUCGGUCAAAUCAAUAAUGCCCCUGCCCUGAUUAAUGUGAUAAGGAGACAAAUCUAUUGUAACUUCGUUAUUUUCAUUAGAAUACAUUUUGGUCUUUAUACAGACUCAGAAACCUUAGCUAUUCUAGGAAACAUAAUAAUUAGUAAAUACUAUUAAUUUGGCCA